UUUUAGCCAUUCCAGAAUUUCCUCAAGCUGAUCCGUUGGAUUAACCACACCCCAUUUUCCAAAACUUCACACUCCAAAGAUGCCAAAUGAGCUUAAUUGAGACCGACAUCGAGCAAAAACGGUUGUCAAAAACAAUAGCAGCAAAACAGCGCCCUCAACUGACAACUGUUAUGAACAACAUGGCAUAAAAAUGGCAUUAAGCCUCAAUAAUUCGCUGCAACUACAAUACUAUGAGAACGUGCAGAAUGAUUGACAGGCAGAAAGCGCCAGAUUUUUGUUUGCUGUUUACAGAAUGUAGAGUUGUCACAGAGACCGGUGAGAUAUCUCACGACACUUAUUUCAGUGAUAUCUUUCAGAGAGUAGGCAUACCUUUUCCAUGAAAAAUAUCACUUACAGCACCUUUAAUAACCCCUGGCCAAUAGAAAAUGGACACAACUGUGUUUCUAGUUUAAAAUGUUUUAAAGUUUUCAAAUAUAUGAAGAAAAAAAAAUGCCAUAUUUAAAAAAAAAAAAAAGAACAUUUCUGCUUAUGUUUGCCAAAGCAACGAUCAAAUCAAUCAGUACUUAAUACGACACUUUAUUAACAGCCUGCCAUGAUGGGGAUUUGCAGUUUAACUGUUGUUUAGAAUUUCUACUUGAUCAUUAAGAUCCCUGUACUCAUGAUUAACUUAAUAAAUAAACAGAUGUUUGAGAUCAGGCCCAAAAGGAAUCUGUGAACUUUUUUUUUUUUUUUUUUGCAUUUUCUACAGCAAUUCUGGGUGUAAAUCUGCAGAACUCUGUAAAAUGGGUUUAAACAUGGUCUAGUAGUAUAGCUUACUACACUCUUAUUGAUAGGUGAAGUCUGAAUCAAAGUAGCCAAAAUAUUUAUUUAAAGGUGCACUCACCUUUACUCCUAAAGAAAUGAAUUGUAAUUGUGAAACAUAUACUGUAUAUAUAAAAUCAUGAGCAUUCACAUGAAAUGAAGACUCCUGUCAUAUCAGUAACCUUAUAAAAGCUGUUUUAUUCUACAUGGAGAGGGUCCAAACAUGGGGGCUGCCAUGUUGGAAUCACAUGACCAGCUGAAUACUACUCACUUAUUCCCAGUAGCCAGCCUGUUAUUGGACAAUUUCACUCAUUGAUUAAAGUAAUCAUGGCUGACGGUGAAUACUACAUUUCUACAAUGGCAUCUGAAACUGAAAACUAUUGAUUUUGAUUGAUGCUAUGUCCAAGCCAGCAAAAAGUUAGUACACCUUUGACGAAAAUGCAAUAUGGUUCUAUGAACACAGAUUUUGUUUGGACCGAAUGAUUACUAAAAGAUGACAUGUCUCCAUUGUUUUCUGUAUAUCUGCUGCCUGUCUCACUUAUUGCUUUUUUGUUUCUAAAAUGAAAAUCGAAAGCACCUUUGGAUGAGUGUUCAGAGUUUUCAUGUCUGCGAACUAGUACACUGGCACCUAGCGCUCCCUCUCUUUGCCCCAAUGACUGUUUGAUCGGGACCGUGGAGUUGCACUUUGAGUUAUAUGUAUAUACUUCUUUAAUGUCAAGUCUUAUGGUGAUAAGUUCACCCUACACUACAUAGGAGUGCUGGUGAAAUAUGUUGCUUAAAGGUGAAGUGUAAUUUUUAGCCUCUGAAGAAGACAUACCUCUCCAAAGCUAAUGCAUUGUGACUUUUUUUGCAAACAUGAAAUGUUCUUUAUAAGAUGUCUAUCAACCUGUUAAUCACGCACCUGUUUCAUCUCCAAUUUAAACCUCUUUGCGACCCCCCUUUCCAUGUAUGUUCCUGGUUCCUUGUUUGUGCGCUUCUGCGCUGCCAGCAACCUCAAAGACUUAUUACAGAUAUCAGACAUAAUAUAUAUUGCUCUUGUGCAUCCCUGCACGCCAGAGACCAACGCACGUGCACACACACGCACAAGCAGGUGUGUGGAUCUACCUCCCUACACCUUCAGCCAUACCUCCCCCGUCCCUGUGCCCUCAUACAGGUCAUGUAUGGUGUAGGAGACCCUUUGAGUUGAUGGUGCUGUUUGAACAACCAGGAAAUAAAUGGACAUUAAAAAGAGGGGGAAAUAAGAUAUUGGAAUGUGGUCGAUUUAUACCUCACCAGGGACUGGGGAGUUCCAUCAUCGUGGCAAUGGAGAGCAUGUCUCUGGUUUGGGAUUCUGCAGCUAGAUUUUCCACGACAGAUAUAUUAAUAAACAUAUAUAUAUAUACUGUACAUUAUAAACAGAAACACUAAUGAAGUUUGAUUUGUUAGUUGUGCACUCACAGCAUGAGAUGUUAUUCCCCAGAGACCGCUUUUGUGGAAAUAAAUGCAGUAGCCAUUUCUGAUGUCAGAACCUUUCAUCGCACCCUAAGUACAUGCAAGUGUUUCCUCUGUGUUCCAAGUGCCAAUACCUUACUGUGACCCAAUAAGAAAGAAAAUUGCACAUUAACUACUGUAAAACAUGAAGAAAAUAGGCAAUGAAUAUCUUAAUAAAAGGUUUGUUACAAAGA